rnacentral:tRNA from 1 species
GGGGGAGUGACGAAAUGGUAGCCGUGGCAGCCUUGGACGUUGCCGGCAAGAAAUCGCCAUAGGGGUUCAAAUCCCCUCUCCCCCA